UACGUAGGGCGCGAGCGUUGUCCGGAUUUAUUGGGCGUAAAGCGCGCGUAGGCGGUUUGGUAAGCCGGGUGUGAAACCCUCGAGCUCAACUCGGGGCGGCCACUCGGAACUGCUAUGACUUGAGUCUGGUAGGGGAACACGGAAUACCUGGUGUAGCGGUGAAAUGCUUAGAUAUCAGGUGGAACACCAGUGGCGAAGGCGGUGUUCUGGGCCAGUACUGACGCUGAGGCGCGAAAGCGUGGGGAGCGAACAGG
rnacentral:rRNA from 1 species